CUACUCUUGACAUCCUGCGAAUUCGGUAGAGAUACCUUAGUGCCUUCGGGAACGCAGAGACAGGUGCUGCAUGGCUGUCGUCAGCUCGUGUUGUGAAAUGUUGGGUUAAGUCCCGUAACGAGCGCAACCCUUGUCCUUAUUUGCCGGCGCGUAAUGGCGGGAACUCUAAGGAGACUGCCGGUGACAAACCGGAGGAAGGUGGGGACGACGUCAAGUCAUCAUGGCCCUUACGAGUAGGGCUACACACGUGCUACAAUGGUCGGUACAAAGGGUUGCCAACUCGCGAGAGUGAGCCAAUCCCGAAAAGCCGAUCUCAGUCCGGAUCGGAGUCUGCAACUCGACUCCGUGAAGUCGGAAUCGCUAGUAAUCGUAGAUCAGAAUGCUACGGUGAAUACGUUCCC
rnacentral:rRNA from 1 species